rnacentral:rRNA from 1 species
GAUGAACGCUGGCGGCGUGCCUAACACAUGCAAGUCGAGCGAACCCUUCGGGGUGAGCGGCGGACGGGUGAGUAACGCGUGGGUAACCUGCCCUAUACACACGGAUAACGUACCGAAAGGUACGCUAAUACGGGAUAAAGUUGUUGGAUGGCAUCUUCUAACAAUCAAAGCUCCGGCGGUAUAGGAUGGACCCGCGUCUGAUUAGCUAGUUGGUGAGGUAAUGGCUCACCAAGGCGACGAUCAGUAGCCGACCUGAGAGGGUGAUCGGCCACGCUGGAACUGAGACACGGUCCAGACUCCUACGGGAGGCAGCAGUGGGGAAUAUUGCACAAUGGGCGAAAGCCUGAUGCAGCAACGCCGCGUGAGCGAUGAAGGUCUUCGGAUCGUAAAGCUCUGUCCUCAAGGAAGAUAAUGACGGUACUUGAGGAGGAAGCCCCGGCUAACUACGUGCCAGCAGCCGCGGUAA